GUGCUCGCUUCGGCAGCACAUAUACUAAAAUUGGAAUGAUACAGAGAUUAGCAUGCAAAGAUAACAAGCAAAUUUGUGAAGCAAUAAAAACAAUA
rnacentral:snRNA from 1 species